GACGAACGCUGGCGGCGUGCUUAACACAUGCAAGUCGAACGAUGAAGAAAAGAAUUGAAGCUUCGGCAGAAAUUCAUUUCGGAUUAGUGGCAGACGGGUGAGUAACGCGUGAGCAACCUACCGCUUACAAAGGGAUAGCCUCGGGAAACCGGGAUUAAUACCAUAUAACAUUGCGACGAAGCAUUUCGAUUCAAUCAAAGCUACGGCGGUAAGAGAUGGGCUCGCGUCCCAUUAACCAGAUGGUGAGGUAACGGCUCACCAUAGUAACGAUGGGUAACCGGGCUGAGAGGGUGAACGGUGACACUGGAACUGAGACACGGUCCAGACUACUACGGGAGGCAGCAGUGGGGAAUAUUGCCCAAUGGAGGGAACUCUGAUGCAGCGACGCCGCGUGAGUGAUGAAGGAAUUCGUUUCGUAAAACUCUGUUCUAUGGGAAGAAAAGGACUGUACCAUAGGAGAAAGCUCCGGCUAAAUACGUG
rnacentral:rRNA from 1 species